AAAAUUUUUUAAUAUGUAAAUCUGUUCUUGUCAGUUUAGUAGCUGAUAUGUCCUGUAAUGCAGGACUAGUCUAUUAAAUGGAUUUUUGGUGUUGGGAGUUGGAUUAGGAGCUUGCUCCAUCUGCUCCAUGCAUUGACCUGGUAUUGCAGUGCUUCCAGGAAUGGUGCACUCCUC
rnacentral:snRNA from 1 species